GCUAGAGUUAAUGCGUGGGUCAGAUUGAGAUGGAAAAACCGGGGGCUAGGGAGCCUCAUUCAGAAUGAGAAGGUCGCGUGUUCGAUUCAUGUCUCCGGCACCA
rnacentral:tRNA from 1 species